GACGUAGGGUGCGAGCGUUGUCCGGAAUUACUGGGCGUAAAGGGCGCGUAGGCGGCCUUCUAAGUCGAACGUGAAAUCCCCGGGCUCAACCCGGGAACUGCGUCCGAUACUGGAAGGCUUGAAUCCGGGAGAGGGAUGUGGAAUUCCAGGUGUAGCGGUGAAAUGCGUAGAUAUUCGGAAGAACACCAGUGGCGAAGGCGGCUCACUGGUCCGGUACUGACGCUGAGGUGCGAAAGCGUGGGGAGCAAACAGG
rnacentral:rRNA from 1 species